ACCUCGUUGUAGAUUCAGAUACCAAUUCAACACAACUUCCCGCCUUUACAAAUCACUUAUCUACAAUGAAAUGUUUGGCAUCUAGUAUUAGCAACCCAACACCACAAUUCUCUUCCAUAAUUCCAUACUACCAAUAUUUGCAAAACAUUCCAAAAACCAACUUGAACAAUAGGUUUAUGUGUGUAUAUGUAUAUAAUCAUCAUCUCAAUACCACAUCAUCAAUACCACAUCAUCACCCCAAAUUCCUUCACAAUUUAACAUAAUCCAACCAUGCACAAGAAUAAUCCAACAUCAUUUCCAAUCAUCUUUCAACAACAAUCAAAUAACAUACUUCUUAUGCUCACAUGCAUAUAUAUAUAUAUACAUAUCCAUAUAAAUAACACCAACAUAAUUUACAUCCUUACCAUAAAAUGGCCCUUUUGAUUUCGAAGUCCUGUUGGCACAAAUAAGGGGUGCUUCUCGAAGCCCUUGAGAUGGUGAACACAACUACGGAAUCAAUUUGGAUUUUCUACGGUUGAAUCACAAGAUAUUUGGAGUUGAAAUUAGGCUAGGGUUUCUUAUUUUCAAUAAUUUGAUGAUAAUUGAUGGAUAUGAGACUAAUUAUAUGUAUAUAAUGACCAAUUUUCGUCCAUGAGGUGAUGAAAAAUGACCAUAUUGCCCUUAAAAAUUUAUGUAAAUCCGAAUCUGUCCAUGACGGACUGUUUUGAUAGACUAAAGUAAAUCGACCAUAACUCUUUGCUCCGUUAUCGGAUUUGGGUUAAAUUGGUAUCGUUGAAAAGAUAAUUCAAAGGACUUUAAUUUAAUAUAAAGUAGGCCACCCAAUUCGUCUUGUACAGGGAGUUAUGAUCGUUUGAAAUUGACCCUAAAAAUCUGUUUUGAGAGGCUGAAGUAAAACGAGUAUAACUCCUUACUCAGAUGUUGGAUUUGGAUGAAACCAAUUGCAUUGGAAAGAAGACUCAAAGAUAUUUCUUUUGAUAUGUGGUAGCUCUCCCAGUUCAUUAUAUUGAGGGAGUUAUGAUCGUUCAAAGUUGACCCAAAAAACUGGCAGGCCUCAGUAGUUUGUGUGCAGGAAAUUUUCCUGCACAUUUACUGUUCACAACAUUACGGCCACCGUUUUAUAGUUUCGAACGGUCUCGAUUAUAUCCAAAACUUAUCCAUUUUUGAAAAUCUUUAUAUCGUUAGAAAACUUAUUCAAUAACCUUCGUAUGGAACCAUCGACGGGCAAAUUCCGGUAUAAAUAAGGUCAAUUCCUAUACACAUAUAAUCAAACUAUACACUUGAAACCAUCUCAAAAUAAUCAAUACUCAUACUUAAACUCAUAUAUACCUAACUUAGGAUCAAUACAUAUACUCCAACACAUAUAACAAUGGCUAAUGCACGUAAUUAAGUACGGGGUGUUACAGAUUCCUAUCGUGUUUUAAGAGUAAGCUAUAGUAUUAUGUGCUUCCGGCUAGGUUGAGCUAUAAGCAAAUCAGCAAACGUACCGAUUCAUGGUUAAGAAAGUUGCAUCACCUUUGAUACCUAAAUUCUUUCCCCAGAUAAGUUGUCUGUAUCUUCAUUUUUCCUGUGUAAUCUUAUUCUUGGUUAAUAACUGAUUUCAGUAAAAGAGUCUGCUCUAGUAAUCUCCAAUUAUAGAAGUGACAUUGACUGACUUGUUGGAUGGGUUCUAGCUCAGGUGCUUGUCUACUUCAAAUUAAGUUUUUCUAUUUCCUGAAGCAGUGAAUUGUUGCUUUUUCUUGAUGCAUUCAAAAUCCCCCUUUUUUAUGCUUCCAUUUCUUAAGUGAAGAGCCUACAAGUUGUAAUGAAAGGUUGAGAAACUCCCUAGAGCAUAUCGUAACAAAGUGAUCACUAUCUACUCUCAUUCAUUUGAUAAGUUUAAAAAUCCGCGCAUUAUAGGAAAGUAAGUUGUUAUAUUUUCACUCAUUAAAGUACUUGAAUUUUUCACCUUAGUUAGACAUUUUAAUCUUGAGAUUAAAGAAAAAAUUUAGUAUCUUUUACUUAUUUAAAACUUAUAAUAGUUGCUAUCUUCCAUUUCAUCCUUCCUCUCUCGGUUCUCGCUCCAUCUGAUCUUAUGCUUAAAACUAUCUCUGCGGAAAGCAUAUACAGUAAAAUUACUGCAUCCAAGAUCCGACUACAAAUUAAUUUAUUUCUCUGUUUCUUUUGUUCCAAAAAAAUAAAAGAAGAUUUUAAACAAGAAAUUCUGCUAUGUUUAUUCAUUACUUUUUAGCAAUCAAUGACAUCCAUACAUCCAAAAACAGACAACAAAGCUACACAAGAAUAAGAAAUAAUCUCAUAUUCUAACAAAAAAAUACACACAAACGUCACCACAAUAAGCUUAAAAAAAAGAAGGAAGCACACAUAAAUGAGAAGAAUUUUUUUUGAAAAAAAAAUGGUAUUCAAGAAUUUCGCAUUUCAACUUGUAACAGUAGAAAAAUAAGUUAAUUAAAAAAAAUAAAAUAAUGGGUAUUCAAGAAUCCAUUUUAUGCCUUUUAACAUAACAACACAAAGAAAUCAAUAAAAUAAGCCUUUUUUUUUUUAAAAAAAAAAAGUAGAGAGAAAGGUAAUCAAUAAUCUCACUUUCCAACUUAUAACACCACAAAAAGAAAAACUUAAUUUCAUCGAGGGGGGAAGGUUGAAAACAGAUUAGGAAGAAAAUUACCUAUGCGGCUUGUUGAGGAUGAUUGAACAAAUAGCCGAUUAUAAGUAAAAUGGUGCUCUUAUUUAUACAAUUCAAGUGCAGAAAUUUCUGUAUUCUAGAAAAGUCUUUCACUUCAUUUUUGUAGUAAUAAUGGAAUACAGAUGGUUGGUUCUUAGUUUAUAUGUGGCAGAGAAAGCUUGAAAUAUCCUAGAUUUU
rnacentral:lncRNA from 1 species